rnacentral:lncRNA from 1 species
UCAUCUUUUUUCUUUUCCUCAUCUUUUUCUUUUUUUUUUCAAACUUUUGCAUCAUUCAUAGUUUCAGGGAUCUUGAGCGUCUCCCGAAGGGCAUCAAGGAUCCGACGAUUUUCAUAGAAUUUAGGACCAUCUAUGGGUGGACACCUUUUUCCUAUAACAAAUUUAAUCGCUAGACGGCAUAGAUCGCCACAAUCGGUGCCCAC